rnacentral:rRNA from 1 species
GGGGAAUCUUCCGCAAUGGACGAAAGUCUGACGGAGCAACGCCGCGUGAGUGAUGACGGCCUUCGGGUUGUAAAGCUCUGUUAAUCGGGACGAAAGGCCUUCUUGCGAAUAGUUAGAAGGAUUGACGGUACCGGAAUAGAAAGCCACGGCUAACUACGUGCCAGCAGCCGCGGUAAUACGUAGGUGGCAAGCGUUGUCCGGAAUUAUUGGGCGUAAAGCGCGCGCAGGCGGAUCAGUCAGUCUGUCUUAAAAGUUCGGGGCUUAACCCCGUGAUGGGAUGGAAACUGCUGAUCUAGAGUAUCGGAGAGGAAAGUGGAAUUCCUAGUGUAGCGGUGAAAUGCGUAGAUAUUAGGAAGAACACCAGUGGCGAAGGCGACUUUCUGGACGAAAACUGACGCUGAGGCGCGAAAGCCAGGGGAGCGAACGGGAUUAGAUACCCCGGUAGUCCUGGCCGUAAACGAUGGGUACUAGGUGUAGGAGGUAUCGACCCCUUCUGUGCCGGAGUUAACGCAAUAAGUACCCCGCCUGGGGAGUACGACCGCAAGGUUG